UACAGAGGGGGCAAGCGUUGUUCGGAAUUAUUGGGCGUAAAGAGCUCGUAGGCGGUUUGUCGCGUCGAAUGUGAAAACCCGGGGCUCAACCCCGGGCCUGCAUUCGAUACGGGCAGACUAGAGUUCGGUAGGGGAGUCUGGAAUUCCUGGUGUAGCGGUGAAAUGCGCAGAUAUCAGGAGGAACACCGGUGGCGAAGGCGGGACUCUGGGCCGAUACUGACGCUGAGGAGCGAAAGCGUGGGGAGCGAACAGG
rnacentral:rRNA from 1 species